UUGCAGGUUGGCCAGAUAGCUCUCUCUUGGGUGUAUAAACAAGCAUAUCACCGACAACAAUGAAACUUUCAUGGAUUUUCCUCUUUUUGGCCUCUCUGCUGAUGACUAUCAGUCUCACGCAUGCAGCUGGAGGAAUACAUUUCCGCAUGCCAAAAAGAAACCCUAGAAAACCCAAAAAGAUUGCAGCUCCUGCGAACCGGCAACCAGUUUAUAAGGCCAGUUUACCAGAGUUACCCUUCUGCAGGUAUACCCUAUGACCCCUCUGGUCACGGGAAUCCCGCUUUCUCGUUUUAUCAAGGUUGAACGCAAAAACAAUUGAUCAAUGAUUAUCUACAGGGGAAGAGAAGUACAGCAUUCUGCCGUAUCCUUCACCACAUUAUAGCGGUGAAAACCAUUGAACAUAAAUCAGUUCGAUGUCAAACCAAAUAGGUUAGAUUACUCUGUGAUGUAAUCAUAUAUACGUGUGUCUGUGUACCAGUUCGUACAAAUAUAUACGUAUAAAACAGAAACACACAUCUAUAUAUACAUCCUUCACUAUGAGCUUUUACCUGAUAAGCUUUAAUGUACUGCAUUUUACUUUUCUUUAACAUACUGGAAACUGUAGAUAUAUUUCAGUAUCAUAAUUUACAUAUAAGAUUCAUACAUUCUUAAGUUUAACAAUACCUACACUAAUGUAAUGUAACACAAAUAUACAUCUUUAUACUAUCAAAGGUCAUCUAAAACUUAUUCACUAACUUACACACUAACUAAUGGAUAUUUACAAAGAAAACAGCUUUUGUUUAAGAAAUUUAUAUUUUUUUGCAAAGUCAACAUGUCAGUACACAAUAUUAUUAUGUUCUCAAUAAAAGAAAGACAGAUA